rnacentral:piRNA from 1 species
GGGCUAUAUCUACUGAACACGGCUUA